rnacentral:rRNA from 1 species
CAAGACCUGCACUUUUGGAGCGGCCGAUGUCUGAUUAGCUAGUUGGUGGGGUAAUGGCCUACCAAAGCUUCGAUCAGUAGCUGGUCUGAGAGGACGGCCAGCCACACUGGGACUGAGACACGGCCCAGACUCCUACGGGAGGCAGCAGUGGGGAAUUUUGGACAAUGGGCGCAAGCCUGAUCCAGCCAUGCCGCGUGAGUGAAGAAGGCCUUCGGGUUGUAAAGCUCUUUCAGCCGGGAAGAAAAGGUUGCGACUAAUAAUCGCAAUUCAUGACGGUACCGAAAGAAGAAGCACCGGCUAACUACGUGCCAGCAGCCGCGGUAAUACGUAGGGUGCGAGCGUUAAUCGGAAUUACUAGGCGUAAAGGGUGCGCAGGCGGUUUUGUAAGUCAGAUGUGAAAUCCCCGGGCUUAACCUGGGAACU